CAUGUAGGCGGAUUAAUAAGUUUGAAGUGAAAUCCUAUAGCUUAACUAUAGAACUGCUUUGAAAACUGUUAAUCUAGAAUGUGGGAGAGGUAAGUGGAAUUCCUAGUGUAGAGGUGAAAUUCGUAGAUAUUAGGAGGAACACCAGUGGCGAAGGCGACCACCUGGACUGAUACUGACACUGAGGUGCGAAAGCGUGGGGAGCAAACA
rnacentral:rRNA from 1 species